rnacentral:misc_RNA from 1 species
AUGUAUGCCAACAUCUCUUCUUGUUUGCCAUGAAUUCCCUAGUUGGAUGUAGGUGUAGUUUGUAUGUGCUAUUAAAUCAUUUGUUGAUGUAUUAAUUUGUUAGAAUCUCUACUCAUAUUCACAAAGCAUAUUUUAAAGUUUCAUCCACAUAAUAAAUGUGAUUAUUUCAAUGUUGAUCAAUAACUUUAAAAAGAAAUUGUAAGAAUUAUUCAUGUGAAAUUUGAUUUUCCACACAAGUAUUUCGUCUCUUCUCAUACAAAGCAAUAUGUGAAAGCUUGUCAAAUACUUAAAUGAAUUGGCAUUAUAGUUGUAUGUAGUGGUACAUGUAUUAUUUAUUUUGAUAUGUUUAGUGUCACAAUAGCACAUCCUUAUAUAUAUAUAUUUUUUAUUUCAGUUAUGGGUUACAUAUCAAAUAUGUGUAUCUGAGCUUUGGUUUAAAUAGAGCAAGGCAAAA